GACGAACGCUGGCGGCGUGCUUAACACAUGCAAGUCGAACGGAAAGGCCCUGCUUUUGUGGGGCGCUCGAGUGGCGAACGGGUGAGUAACACGUGAGUAACCUGCCCUUGACUUUGGGAUAACUUCAGGAAACUGGGGCUAAUACCGGAUAGGAGCUCCUGCUGCAUGGUGGGGGUUGGAAAGUUUCGGCGGUUGGGGAUGGACUCGCGGCUUAUCAGCUUGUUGGUGGGGUAGUGGCUUACCAAGGCUUUGACGGAUAGCCGGCCUGAGAGGGUGACCGGCCUCAUUGGGACUGAGAGACGGCGCAGACGCCUACGGGAGGCAGCAGUGGGGAAUAUUGCACAAUGGGCGGAAGCCUGAUGCAGCAACGCCGCGUGCGGGAUGACGGCCUUCGGGUUGUAAACCGCUUUCGCCUGUGACGAAGAGUGAGUGACGGUAAUGGGUAAAGAAGCACCGGCUAACUACGUG
rnacentral:rRNA from 1 species